AUGCGAACACAAACUUCAGGCAUCCAAGAAAGAAGUCAAGAUCGAAAUCGAAGCAUUGUCAUUGGGUUGAAGAUCAAUUCAUAUCGACAAGACUUUCCAUUCAUCUUUUUGUUGAUAUUUGGAUUCCGUUUUCAAAUAAAGUCAUCUUGUAGUUAGAAAUCACCUUUAGAAUCAUCAGCCUCUGUCCCUACACUGACUCGCUUAUCCGGGAUCGAUCCUCACUACGGUCCUUUAUUUCGAAAUGAGGAUAGGUCUCUCGCGGAACGAGGUGUAGAUUGA
rnacentral:rRNA from 1 species